AUUGAACGCUGGCGGCAGGCCUAACACAUGCAAGUCGAGCGGAUGAAGGGAGCUUGCUCCUGGAUUCAGCGGCGGACGGGUGAGUAAUGCCUAGGAAUCUGCCUGGUAGUGGGGGAUAACGUCCGGAAACGGGCGCUAAUACCGCAUACGUCCUGAGGGAGAAAGUGGGGGAUCUUCGGACCUCACGCUAUCAUAUGAGCCUAGGUCGGAUUAGCUAGUUGGUGGGGUAAAGGCCUACCAAGGCGACGAUCCGUAACUGGUCUGAGAGGAUGAUCAGUCACACUGGAACUGAGACACGGUCCAGACUCCUACGGGAGGCAGCAGUGGGGAAUAUUGGACAAUGGGCGAAAGCCUGAUCCAGCCAUGCCGCGUGUGUGAAGAAGGUCUUCGGAUUGUAAAGCCCUUUAAGUUGGGAGGAAGGGCAGUAAGUUAAUACCUUGCUGUUUUGACGUUACCAACAGAAUAAGCACCGGCUAACUUCGUG
rnacentral:rRNA from 1 species